AGCAACAUGAACACAAAUAAUUAAAGUCUUUGUAAGCAGGAAAUCGAACGGACUUACAUAAAAAAAAAUAUUAUGUAUGUAUAAUAAAUACAAUUAGGGAAUUCAGGUUUCUUUAUGUUUAUACUUUACAUUUUAUAACGUAACUCUUUACAUAUUUGUAAUUGUUAUAUAUAUAUAUAUACACGCGUCUAAACAUGUGACAACUUUAUGACAGACAUUAUUCAUUGGACAACACGUGGUUAUACAGGGUUAACACCAUAAUAUAUAUAUAAUUCGUCUCGAAUUUAGCCCAACAAAUUUAGAUCUUCAAAUUUGCGUUAUAAAUAUAUAUACUACAACACCAAGAAGUGUUUUUAGUACAGCGAACUUUGUGUGAACUUACAAGCCGCUGUUAUCUAAUUAUAGAAAGAACCGUUGUAAGGGAAAUUCCAGAGAUAUUAAUAGAAAAAGUUAAGACAUCCUCUAUUAAUAGUCUUAAUAUUUCCAUAAAUGAUAGCAGGGAUUUUUGUUUACCUUUCAUUGUCUAUUGUUUCUGUCUUUUUUACUUUUUUUAACCUUUGUUUUUAUAAAUACAUAAUAAUCAAUAUCAAUCACUAAAUAGUAUUUGGUUGGAUUUCAAAUGAAAAGGCUAUGUACAACCUAUAGACUUAGUUUAAAAGUGAAACGAAGGUUUUCAGAAAAUGUCACUUCUCUGAAAACCCUUGUGAUGGUUUUCGGGAUACCGCUUUAUACAUUUUAGAAUUCUUCAAAGAGCAUUUCUUAGUAAACACUGCUUAGCAAAAUGUUCCUUUAAUUUAUAUAUUCCACAUUUUAUAGCACUGAAUCGCAUAAUAGUACAUUUAACAAUGGCAUAUCUGUAUGUGUGGUAUCCAAACGAUGACAGCUGGGGACAUGCUUCACUGUUAUUAGAAAUAAGUCAGGUGUAUAUCAGCUGGUGGCCAAAAGACGACAAAUCAAAAUAUAAAAAGAAGAAGAAGAAGGUAGACGCUAAAGAUGAAUUACCCGAUAGUUAUAGAGAAGACGUCGACGAUUACAAUGGUAGAGAAGCAACUCACAAGUUUUAUAUAAACGAACGCAAAAUCAAUGCAAACACUGUCGAGGAAUGGUGGAGACGAACAAAAGGGGGAGGUGGCUAUCAUCUUUUUGGUCGCAAUUGUUGUGAUGUUGUUUACGCCGCAUUGGAAGUCGGAGGUUGCUACUACUGGGUUCAUCCGGGAAUUAAAGUAGUUUCCACUCCGCGGCACAUGAUUCGCUAUGGCCAAGCCUUAGAGAAUGCGAAAGAAAAAGACGGAAACCCCUUCCGAGGUUUCGUAGUCCGAUGAUGUGAAAUAAACUGUUUAAAUCAAAAGAAACCGUUUAUGUUGAACAUGUCAAAGCUUAAUUGUGAAAUCUGUGAUUUCUAAGCUUAAUGAUUAAUGCUAAGACAUUGUCCUACCCAUGCCAUCUUUAGACAAUCUUUCUUGCUUAAAUAAAAAAAAAUACCAUACAAGAUCAAUUCCGGCUGCAAAUCUGGGUGUUUUUAUUUUAUUGAAAUAGGGCAUUAUACUUAUAUACUAGCCUGUUUUUUUUUAAAUUAAAGAAAGUUUGAUGGUUAUCUUC